UACGUAGGAGACGAGCGUUGUCCGGAGUUACUGGGCGUAAAGGGUGCGCAGGCGGCCCUGCGCGUCGCGAGUGAAAUCUCCCGGCUCAACUGGGAGGGUGGUCGCGAGACGGCAGGGCUUGAGGCUCGGUGAGGGGCGUGGAAUUCCGGGUGGAGCGGUGAAAUGCGUAGAGAUCCGGAGGAACACCGACGGCGAAGGCAGCGUCCUGGCCGAGCACUGACGCUCAGGCACGAAAGCGCGGGGAGCGAACAGG
rnacentral:rRNA from 1 species